GGCGGGCGGUUAGGGGAAAGUACCUGGGAGAAAGGUAGAGGAGGUAAGGGGACCCUUGGGGGGUGCCCCUACGGGCUACCAGGGUUGAACGCACAGGCAUGGUCACGUCGGGGUAUUGCCAAGCUUUUGGCGCAGCUGGUCGGGUGGCCAGGCUGCAUGCGGCUUAGCAGGAGACGUCCUGGGCUGUUUGCGCAGGACCUCUGGAGGCCCUCGAGAUGGUCGCAAGCGGAAAGGUGCUGGAGAAUCUGGUAAAAGCACCAUUGUGAAGCAGAUGAGGAUCCUGCAUGUUAAUGGGUUUAAUGGAGAGGGCGGCGAAGAGGACCCGCAGGCUGCAAGGAGCAACAGCGAUGGAAUGUAUUAUCCCUAGAUGAUGGCUACAGUUUCUCAUCUUCCCGGCUAUGUCCUAUCACAAUUUGCAUGCUGGAAUUGCUCGGUCUUAGGAACUUCUAAUAAGAAUACUAUUCUGUUAUCUGAGGGGGGAGGGGGGAUGGGGCCCCUACUACCUGACCUUAAACGAUGAUUGAAAAAAUGAAAAAUGGACUGAAAUCCUUAAUUGGCAGAAAUGUAGUAUGACAACUAUCCAAAAAGGCAUCUCUCUAAGAAAUGACUAAUUGACAAUCUGCUGUACCAAAAGUUGGCAUUUGAGCAAGAUAUGACAAGUCCUUAGUGAGCAACCUACUGUGUACUAGAUGUCCUGCUAAACCCUUGAACCCUACUAAUACCUUGGCCUGCACGUCUCUCUGACUCUGUUCUGCAAGUCAAUAUAAGUAUUAACAUUCGUGAUAAAUAAAAAUUCUCUGCAUGUUUCAGCAA
rnacentral:sRNA from 1 species